AAUGAGGUGACAGGUCCAUGAGCCAUUAGCGAGGGAUUAUAGCUAUUAAAGUGAAUCCUUCUUUAACCCAAAUAUCAUUAAUCUUAGUCAUCUGCCUUGCUGUGUCUUUGCAAAAGUUGUGAUGUAAUAGUAGAUACCUUUGAUGUAUUGACCAAAUAAUUUAUUGCCAAAUGUCAGGGUUCUUACAGCAUGAAAAUUGAGAAGGCUAGCUAUUGCUAGAGUGGUUUGAAGAGCUCCAGAUUCUGUGAGACAAAGCUCGAAUAAUGCUGCACAGUAUGAGGUGCAAAUAUUCGUCCGGACAUCAUGGGUAGGUGAGCCAUACGCCUGAGCCUUAAUUUUCCAAAAACUGGCACUCCUCCUGCAAUAGUUGACUGGAUUGAAGGCCCAGAUAAGAAUCUGCUCACCGCCAUGGGACCUCAGGUACUCAGCUUGAACAAACAUCGCGGAUCUCCUGGUGUGUCAGUUCUGAAAAGUUAAGAACCAGCCUCACCAUGAGCAGAACGGCACAGGCUUUCAACUUUCUUGGAUCAGACUACUGGAUCAAUUAUUUACAGAUCCAAAGGCCAAUUUCGAGGAGUCUAAGAAGAAGUGAAAUGAUGGGAGGAGAAGUCUGUGUGAAAAUGUAAUUUAAAGAGAGCGGUCUGGAUAUGUCCUGUUCCCUGCUGUAAAUUCAUUGACAAUACUGGAAUUUCAUACUGGCUGCAGAUAGUGAAGGGAUGACCCAUUAAAUUCUGCUAUGUUUAGUGAGAUUAAAAAUAUUACACAUGGGUCGAGAGGAGUAAUUUGCUAUUGAAUUAUUUUUAUGUUUUUUUACAUAAUGAAAUGUACAUAGGUCAAGUAACAGUAGUGUGGUCAAGUAACAGUAGUUUGGUGGCGCGACUGACGUUGCAGUGGCCUCUGCAGUCCGUCUGUCUUUUUUUAAUUUUUCGUCCCGUUGAGUGUAGUUUGUAGUGGUUUUUAAAUUGUUUUUAACUGUGUAUGUGUGGGGGGUGG